AGUGGCGAACGGGUGAGUAACACGUGGGCAACCUGCCCUCAGCUCUGGGAUAACUCCGGGAAACCGGUGCUAAUACCGAAUACGACCACUUCAGGCAUCUGAUGGUGGUGGAAAGUUCCGGCGGUGAAGGAUGAGCUCGCGGCCUAUCAGCUUGUUGGUGGGGUAGUGGCCUACCAAGGCGACGACGGGUAGCCGGCCUGAGAGGGUGACCGGCCACACUGGGACUGAGACACGGCCCAGACUCCUACGGGAGGCAGCAGUGGGGAAUAUUGCGCAAUGGGCGAAAGCCUGACGCAGCGACGCCGCGUGGGGGAUGACGGCCUUCGGGUUGUAAACCUCUUUCAGCAGGGACGAAGCGCAAGUGACGGUACCUGCAGAAGAAGCACCGGCCAACUACGUGCCAGCAGCCGCGGUAAUACGUAGGGUGCAAGCGUUGUCCGGAAUUAUUGGGCGUAAAGAGCUCGUAGGCGGUUCGUCGCGUCGGCUGUGAAAUCCCGAGGCUCAACCUCGGGUCUGCAGUCGAUACGGGCGGACUGGAGUUCGGCAGGGGAGACUGGAAUUCCUGGUGUAGCGGUGAAUGCGCAGAUAUCAGGAGGAACACCGGUGGCGAAGGCGGUUCUCUGGGCAUUACCUGACGCUGAGGAGCGAAAGUGUGGGGAGCGAACAGGAUUAGAUACCCUGGUAGUCCACACCGUAAACGUUGGGCGCUAGGUGUGGGACUCAUUCCACGAGUUCCGUGCCGCAGCUAACGCAUUAAGCGCCCCGCCU
rnacentral:rRNA from 1 species